rnacentral:rRNA from 1 species
GCGAGCGUUAAUCGGAAUUACUGGGCGUAAAGCGCAUGCAGGUGGUUUGUUAAGGUCAGAUGUGAAAGACCCGGGGCGUCAACCUCGGAACUGCAUUUGAAACUGGCAGACUAGAGUACUGUAGAGGGGGGUAGGAAUUUCAGGUGUAGCGGUGAAAUGCGUAGAGAUCUGAAGGAAUACCGGUGGCGAAGGCGGCCCCCUCGGACAGAUACUGACACUCAGAUGCGAAAGCGUGGGGAGCAAACAGGAUUAGAUACCCUGGUAG